AGCUAGUUGGUAGGGUAACGGCCUACCAAGGCGAAGACGGGUAGGGGGCGUGAGAGCGUGACCCCCCACACUGGCACUGGGACACGGGCCAGACUCCUACGGGAGGCAGCAGUGAGGAAUAUUGCGCAAUGAGCGAAAGCUAGACGCAGCAACGCCGCGUGGGUGAUGAAGGCCUUCGGGUCGUAAAACCCUUUUCUGGGGGAAGAGUAAGGACGGUACCCCAGGAAUAAGCCUCGGCUAAAUAUGUGCCAGCAGCCGCGGUAAUACAUAGGAGGCAAGCGUUAUCCGGAUUUACUGGGCGUAAAGAGCGUUGAGGCGGCUUCGUAAGUUGGACGUGAAAGCUCCCGGCUUAACUGGGAGAGGCCGUUCAAUACUGCGGGGCUUGAGGACAGCAGAGGGGGGUGGAAUUUCCGGUGUAGUGGUGAAAUGCGUAGAUAUCGGAAGGAACACCAGUGGCGAAGGCGGCCCCCUGGGCUGCUCCUGACGCUGAAGGCGAAAGCUAGGGUAGCGAACGGGAUUAGAAACCCCGGUAGUCCUAGCCGUAAACGAUGGAUACUAGGUGUAGGAGGUUAAAACUCCUUCUGUGCCGGAGCUAACGCGUUAAGUAUCCCGCCUGGGGAGUACGGUCGCAAGGCUAAAACUCAAAGGAAUUGACGGGGGCCCGCACAAGCAGCGGAGCGUGUGGUUUAAUUCGAUGCAACGCGAAGAACCUUACCAGGGCUUGACAUGUAGGUAGUAGUGAAGCGAAAGCGGAACGAUCCUUCGGGAAGCCUACACAAGUGCUGCAUGGCUGUCGUCAGCUCGUGCCGUGAGGUGUUAGGUUAAGUCCUGUAACGAGCGCAACCCCUGCCGUUAGUUACGAGUGUCUAACGGGACUGCCCGGCAAAACUGGGCGGAAGGUGGGGAUGACGUCAAGUCAGCAUGGCCUUUAUGUCCUGGGCUACACACACGCUACAAUGGCCGGUACAAUGGGUUGCCAAGCCGCGAGGCGGA
rnacentral:rRNA from 1 species